UGAAGAGUUUGAUCCUGGCUCAGGAUGAACGCUAGCGGAAGGCCUAAUACAUGCAAGUUGAACGUGCUAGCAAUAGUAACGUAGCGGACGGGUGCGUAACGCGUAUGGAACCUACCUUUAAGAGGAGGAUAUACUAUGGAAACGUAGUGCAAUACUCCAUAAGUUUAUCUAUUCGCAUGAAUAGAUAAAGAAAGGCUAUAUAGGUCGCUUAGAGAUGGCCAUGCGUCCCAUUAGCUAGUUGGUAGAGGUAAAGGCCUACCAAGGCGACGAUGGGUAACUGGUCUGAGAGGAUGGUCAGUCACACUGGAACUGAGACACGGUCCAGACUCCUACGGGAGGCAGCAGUAGGGAAUAUUGGGCAAUGGGCGAAAGCCUGACCCAGCCAUUCCGCGUGCAGGAAGAAGGUUUUUAUAAUUGUAAACUGCUUUAGUAUCUGAAUAAGUCUCUGUAUGGGAUAUAGAGAUUGCAAGUAAGAUAAGAAUAAGCACCGGCUAACUACGUGCCAGCAGCCGCGGUAAUACGUAGGGUGCAAGCGUUGUCCGGAAUUACUGGGUUUAAAGGGUGCGUAGGCGGGUCAAUAAGUGUAAUGUUAAAAGUAUCAGCUUAACUGGUAGCAGGCGUUACAUACUGUUGGUCUAGAAUGGUUGUGAGGCUAUUGGAACGACUGGAGUAGAGGUGAAAUUCGUAGAUAUCAGUCAGAACACCGAUUGCGAAGGCAGAUAGCUAACAACAGAUUGACGCUGAUGCACGAAAGCGUGGGGAGCAAACAGGAUUAGAUACCCUGGUAGUCCACGCUGUAAACGUUGGUUACUAGAUGUUCGUCAUUUAUUAUGAUGAGCGUUUAAGCGCAAGCGAUAAGUAACCCACCUGGGGAGUACGUUCGCAAGGAUGAAACUCAAAGGAAUUGACGGGGGCCCGCACAAGCGGUGGAGCAUGUGGUUUAAUUCGACGAUACGCGAGGAACCUUACCUAGGCUAGAAUGCGAGUGCCACCUUUAGAGAUAAGGGAUAUUAUCGAGAGAUAACACGAAGCAAGGUGCUGCAUGGUUGUCGUCAGCUCGUGCCGUGAGGUGUUGGGUUAAGUCCCGCAACGAGCGCAACCCCUGUAUUUAUUUGCUAAUAUUAAGUUAAGCACUAUAAAUAGACUGCCGGCGUAAGCUGUGAGGAAGGUGGGGAUGACGUCAAAUCAUCAUGGCCCUUACGCCUAGGGCUACACACGUGCUACAAUGGUAAGUACAAAGAGAAGCGAAGUAGCGAUACGGAGCGGAUCUCAAAAAGCUUAUCUCAGUUCGGAUUGUAGUCUGCAACUCGACUACAUGAAGUUGGAAUCGCUAGUAAUCGCGGAUCAGCAUGCUGCGGUGAAUACGUUCCCGGGCCUUGUACACACCGCCCGUCAAGCCAUGAGAGUUCGGGGUGCCUGAAGUAUUCUAUAAGAGUACAAAGGCAAAACGGAUGAUUGGGGCUAAGUCGUAACAAGGUAGCCGUACCGGAAGGUGUGGCUGGAUUACCUCCUU
rnacentral:rRNA from 1 species